GGUGGGGGGGGGGACAAAGACUUUUGCCCCCCGCCAGCCUUCAGAAGAGGUCCAGGACCUCUUCUGAAGGCUGGCGGGGGCAAAGUCUUUGUCCCCCUGCCUGCC